rnacentral:rRNA from 1 species
CACGCAACGCGCAGAACCUUACCUGGUCUUGACAUCCCGAGAAUUUUCUGGAAACAGAGAAGUGCCUCGCAAAGAGGGAAUUCGGAGACAGGUGCUGCAUGGCUGUCGUCAGCUCGUGUCGUGAGAUGUUGGGUUAAGUCCCGCAACGAGCGCAACCCUUGUCUUAGUUGCCAUCAUUAAGUUGGGCACUCUAAAGAGACUGCCGGUGUCAAACCGGAGGAAGGUGGGGAUGACGUCAAGUCCUCAUGGCCUUUAUGACCAGGGCUACACACGUACUACAAUGGCAGGUACAAAGGGCAGCCACUUAGCGAUAAGGCGCGAAUCCCGUAAAACCUGUCUCAGUCCGGAUUGGAGUCUGCAACUCGACUCCAUGAAGUUGGAAUCGCUAGUAAUCGCAGAUCAGCACGCUGCGGUGAAUACGUUCCCGGGCCUU